UACGUAGGGUGCAAGCGUUAAUCGGAAUUACUGGGCGUAAAGCGUGCGCAGGCGGUUUUGUAAGCCAGAUGUGAAAGCCCCGGGCUCAACCUGGGAACUGCAUUAGUGACUGUAUAGCUAGAGUGCGGCAGAGGGGGAUGGAAUUCCACGUGUAGCAGUGAAAUGCGUAGAUAUGUGGAGGAAUACCGAUGGCGAAGGCAGCCCCCUGGGAUAACACUGACGCUCAUGCACGAAAGCGUGGGGAGCAAACAGGAUUAGAUACCCCAGUAGU
rnacentral:rRNA from 1 species